CUCGCUAUUUUUACUCAGGCAAAUCGUAAGCCGCUCUUACCUCCAUUCAGGCAUUUCAUUGGCCGAUUCGAGGUCCUCCUUCCUUUUCCACAUCUCUGAGCGAGCCGACGCCAAGAUGAACGACUCAGUCACAAUCAGGACACGGAAGUUUAUGACAAACCGCUUGCUUCAGAGGAAGCAAAUGGUUGUCGAUGUCCUCCAUCCAGGCAAAGCAACAGUCCCCAAGACUGAAAUCAGGGAGAAGCUUGCCAAACUCUACAAGACCACCCCUGAUGUAGUGUUCGUCUUCGGCUUCAAGACUCAGUUUGGUGGUGGCAAGACGACCGGCUUUGCCAUGGUCUACGACUCAUUGGACUACGCCAAGAAGAAUGAGCCCAAAUACAGACUGCAGAGGCACGGGCUGUACGAGAAAAAGAAGACAUCCAGAAAACAGCGCAAGGAACGCAAGAACAGAAUGAAGAAGGUCAGGGGAACCAAAAAAGCCUCUGUUGGUGCUGCUGGCAAGAAGAAGGUAAAUGGUGUUAUGAGUGGAGUAACUACUUUCCACAGAUAUAUUGGGGUGAUGUCCCACGCUAACGAUCCCCAAACACCACCCUUAUUAACCCUAGCUAUUGACUACCUGUCAAUCAGAUCUGCCCUUAUUGUGGUCAGAUCUGCUUUAAUCGUUGUGCAGUGCCAAGAUUCUCAUAACACUGCUCUUAAUAGAGCUAUUCAGUUGUGUUUACUGUACUGCUUCCAUAGACCAGCUGUAGUGGGCAAGGCUUGACUCUUCAUGCUAGAUGAGGAUCUCUGUAGAGUGCCCACUAGAUUCACUCAGCCUUAAGAGUUGUUCUCUGAGUAGGUCGUGUCCAAAAUGUAAAGGGUCACGUUCAGGUUGAACAUGAUUGGCAUGAAGAGUAACUAGCCAUCCUGACCUCGGUUGCCUCAGAGAGCAGCUCCUAAGACUGCUUUAAAACUGUCGAUUCAAAUGCUUAAUCAUUUUUCCCCAUCUUUUUGCCUUUUAUUUUGCCUCCUGUGGACGUGGUCAGAAAUGAGGUGUCUUUCCAGUGAGACCGUCAGGGGAGGCCUUCAUCCUGAAGAUGUUCUUGUAUAUUGUCAACGAAUAAAAAUGAUAAAAUUUCAUAA